UUCACUUCUCAUUUCCUUUUAAUGAAAUAUGAUAGCCGUGUUAGACGAAAGACCCGAAUUAGAGCAGUGUCACGGUAUUGGUAGAACGACAGUUCAGUCUGCUAGUGUUUAUUACAAACAGUAGAAAAAAAUAUUCAUAUAUGAAUCUCCUUAAUACCAAUAGUUCGUCUUGCUACGGAAUCGCACGAGCCACUGACAACUGACUCAGAUCAAAGUUCGCAGGAGGAAAAAAAAUCCAGCUCUCGUUAGUUUUGAACGGAUUCAUUUUCUAGCUAGUCGCAUCUUUUGGAUUUCGCUUUCACUUUUAAGGGAAAGUGCUGCACUUUUUAGCUUGACACUUGAUGGCGGCUCGAUUCUGAAGAGGUUUGUAGAGUUGAAAGAGAAAUUACUAGAGUUAUCUUCAUCUCGAACUGUAGAUGCUCAUGUUGGAAACUGAAGACUUUCAAGAUGCCUUUCAUGAACAGAAAGAAGAAAGAAAAAGGUAGGAAGUUUUAUUUUUUCUAUCAGUCUAAAUGUCUUAAAUGAUUGACCCGAUUUUAGAUGACCCUGUUUCCUUACGUGUUAACAUUGUUAAUGUGAACAAAGUUGUUGUACAAAAAAAAAAAAAAAAAAGGUGGCUAUAAUUUUCAUUUCGAUAUAUAUAUUUUCUAAACAGGUACUUCCAAUUACAAAGUUUCUUGAAAUACGAUAGAAGUCAAUAAAAAAAUAGCUUUUACAAUAGGGAUAGGAUGAAUCUGUAAAUACAAAACUAACAUUUUAUAUGGCUUCGAUAGAGUAAAACGUCCAUAAAGAUUUUUAUAGCAUAAAUUAAAUACGUAUUCCAGAACGAAUUUAUUGACUUAGAUCAAUGCUGCGAAGCAGUUUCAAUCAGAUUUUCAGGAAAUUUAUGGAAUCUGCUAAAGAAAGAAGGGCUUGAGCGAAUAUUUAUGCAGGAUAAUGUGGUAUUUGUUAUUUACUUUGACAUCUGACCUCAUCAAUCUAUUAACUAUCAACAUCCCUACGAAUUUGUACUUGUUGUUAAAGGUAGAUUAUUAACAUAUUAAUGUAUUGUAUUCAUUUUAAUACAUGUUUCUUUCACUACAGGUUGGAUACAAAAAUUAAG
rnacentral:lncRNA from 1 species